CCUACGGGUGGCUGCAGUGGGGAAUAUUGGACAAUGGGGGGAACCCUGAUCCAGCCAUGCCGCGUGUGUGAAGAAGGCCCUCGGGUUGUAAAGCACUUUCAGUGAGGAAGAACGCCUGGUGGUUAAUACCCAUCAGGAAAGACAUCACUCACAGAAGAAGCACCGGCUAACUCCGUGCCAGCAGCCGCGGUAAUACGGAGGGUGCGAGCGUUAAUCGGAAUUACUGGGCGUAAAGCGCGCGUAGGUGGCUUGAUAAGCCGGUUGUGAAAGCCCCGGGCUCAACCUGGGAACGGCAUCCGGAACUGUCAAGCUAGAGUGCAGGAGAGGAAGGUAGAAUUCCCGGUGGAGCGGUGAAAUGCGUAGAGAUCGGGAGGAAUACCAGUGGCGAAGGCGGCCUUCUGGACUGACACUGACACUGAGGUGCGAAAGCGUGGGUAGCAAACAGGAUUAGAUACCCCUGUAGUC
rnacentral:rRNA from 1 species